CUCAGCGUAGCAUAGUGGUAAGGAGCAGGGCUGGUAACCAAAAGGUUGCUGGUUCAAUUCCCCGCUGCUGAAA
rnacentral:tRNA from 1 species